rnacentral:rRNA from 1 species
GACGAACGCUGGCGGCGUGCUUAACACAUGCAAGUCGAACGGAAAGGCCCUGCUUUUGUGGGGUGCUCGAGUGGCGAACGGGUGAAUAACACGUGAGUCACCUGCCCUUUUCUUUGGGAUAUCUUCAGGAAACUGGGGCUAAUACCGGAUAGGAGCUCCUGCUGCAUGGUGGGUGUUAGAAAGUUUCGGCGGUUGGGGAUGGACUCGCGGCUUAUCAGCUUGUUGGUGGGGUAGUGGCUUACCAAGGCUUUGACGGGUAGCCGGCCUGAGAGGGUGACCGGCCACAUUGGGACUGAGAUACGGCCCAGACUCCUACGGGAGGCAGCAGUGGGGAAUAUUGCACAAUGGGCGGAAGCCUGAUGCAGCAACGCCGCGUGCGGGAUGACGGCCUUCGGGUUGUAAACCGCUUUCGCCUGUGACGAAGCGUGAGUGACGGUAAUGGGUAAAGAAGCACCGGCUAACUACGUG